UACGAGGGGGGCGAGCGUUGUUCGGAAUUAUUGGGCGUAAAGGGUGCGUAGGCGGCCUGACAAGUCUGAUGUGAAAUCCCUGGGCUCAACCCAGGGCCUGCAUCGGAAACUGUCGGGCUUGAGUAUGGGAGAGGUGAGUGGAAUUUCCGGUGUAGCGGUGAAAUGCGUAGAUAUCGGAAGGAACACCUGUGGCGAAAGCGGCUCACUGGACCAUUACUGACGCUGAGGCACGAAAGCCAGGGAGCAAACGGG
rnacentral:rRNA from 1 species